UCGGCUUCUAAAAAUGCCAGCAGAUUGGCC
rnacentral:piRNA from 1 species